rnacentral:rRNA from 1 species
AGAGUUUGAUCCUGGCUCAGAGCGAACGCUGGCGGCAGGCCUAACACAUGCAAGUCGAGCGCCGUAGCAAUACGGAGCGGCAGACGGGAGAGUAACACGUGGGAACGUACCCUUUGGUUCGGAACAACCCAGGGAAACUUGGGCUAAUACCGGAUAAGCCCUUACGGGGAAAGAUUCAUCGCCGAAGGAUCGGCCCGCGUCUGAUUAGCUAGUUGGUGGGGUAAUGGCCCACCAAGGCGACGAUCAGUAGCUGGUCUGAGAGGAUGAUCAGCCUCACUGGGACUGAGACACGGCCCAGACUCCUACGGGAGGCAGCAGUGGGGAAUAUUGGACAAUGGGCGCAAGCCUGAUCCAGCCAUGCCGCGUGGGUGAUGAAGGCCCUAGGGUUGUAAAGCCCUUUCGGCGGGGAAGAUAAUGACGUACCCGCAGAAGAGCCCCG